UACGAAGGGGGCUAGCGUUGUUCGGAAUUACUGGGCGUAAAGCGCACGUAGGCGGGUUGUUAAGUCAGGGGUGAAAUCCCGGAGCUCAACUCCGGAACUGCCUUUGAUACUGGCAACCUAGAGGCUGGAAGAGGUUAGUGGAAUUCCCAGUGUAGAGGUGAAAUUCGUAGAGAUGCGGAGGAACACCGAUGGCGAAGGCAGCCUUCUGGGCCAACACUGACGCUCAUGCACGAAAGCGUGGGGAGCAAACAGG
rnacentral:rRNA from 1 species